UACGUAGGCAGCAAGCGUUGUUCGGAGUUACUGGGCGUAAAGGGUGUGUAGGCGGUUCUUUAAGUUUGGUGUGAAAUCUCCCGGCUCAACUGGGAGGGUGCGCCGAAUACUGAGGGACUAGAGUACGGGAGAGGAAAGUGGAAUUCCCGGUGUAGUGGUGAAAUGCGUAGAUAUCGGGAGGAACACCAGUGGCGAAGGCGACUACCUGGCCUGUUCUUGACGCUGAGGCGCGAAAGCUAGGGGAGCAAACGGG
rnacentral:rRNA from 1 species